UCUUCUGGCUUCUUCGUUGCAGGGAUAAAGAGACUUUUUUCCAGGUUUCAGAUGCUGUCAUUGCCACCCACUGCGUGGUGACCAGUCUGUCUUGCCGUGUGGCUGUGCCAACUUGUAACCUUUUAUAGUCCCCCUUCAGUUACCUAUGCAAUUUUUGGCUGUCUUGGAAUCACAUCCCAAAAGGUUUAAGGCCUCAGCAGGUGAUAAGAAAGGCAUGAGAACAGGCUGGAAGGAGAAUGAACUACUGAGGGGCCCAAGCUGAAAGAAAUAAAGACUUCCAGUACAUCACCCUGACAGUAAAGAACCAAGAAAAAGUGAAGUCUGGUAACCGAAGUCUAUGUGCCCAAGUGACUACAGCAGUAAGACUGGACAGAGAGUCCCUUUCCUGGCAGAAGCUGGUCUUUCUGCGAGUCCAUGGAAAGUUCUUGAGCGGAGAGCUCUCCAUGCCUGCUGCUGCUAACAGGUUGGAAACCAUAUGGAAUUGUCUCAUACAUCAGUCAGAAGAAAGAAAGCCAGCAGAAGAAAUUUCAGUAUAUAAACCCACUUGGAGAUCCCACCAUAGAACAUUUUGA
rnacentral:lncRNA from 1 species